rnacentral:rRNA from 1 species
UACGUAGGGUGCAAGCGUUGUCCGGAAUUAUUGGGCGUAAAGAGCUCGUAGGCGGUCUGUCGCGUCUGCUGUGAAAACUCAGGGCUUAACCCUGAGCUUGCAGUGGGUACGGGCAGACUAGAGUGCGGUAGGGGAGACUGGAAUUCCUGGUGUAGCGGUGAAAUGCGCAGAUAUCAGGAGGAACACCGGUGGCGAAGGCGGGUCUCUGGGCCGUAACUGACGCUGAGGAGCGAAGGCGUGGGGAGCGAACGGG